rnacentral:rRNA from 1 species
CGGGCCAGAAAUGGUCAACUCUUUGGACACUCGUGAACAGGUGGUGCAUGGUUGUCGUCAGCUCGUGUCGUGAGAUGUUGGGUUAAGUCCCGCAACGAGCGCAACCCUCGUUCUAUGUUGCCAGCGCGUAAUGGCGGGAACUCAUAGGAGACUGCCGGGGUCAACUCGGAGGAAGGUGGGGAUGACGUCAAAUCAUCAUGCCCUUUAUGUCUUGGGCUUCACGCAUGCUACAAUGGCCGGUACAAAGGGCUGCGAUACCGUAAGGUGGAGCGAAUCCCAAAAAGCCGGUCUCAGUUCGGAUUGAGGUCUGCAACUCGACCUCAUGAAGUCGGAGUCGCUAGUAAUCGCAAAUCAGCAACGCUGCGGUGAAUACGUUCCCGGGUCUUGUACACACCGA